AAGACAAGGAUACACAAGAGAAAAAGAAAAGGCAAAGAGAAAGCAAGAAAAGAGGAAGAGACAGGGGAAAGGAUAAAAAGGGAGCCGCUAGAACGCGUCGACUCGGUUUGUUUACGUUUUUUCCCGCGGGAAGGUGCACGUGUGGGCGGCGUUCAAAAAGAUCUACGUUUAUUUCACGUUCCUGACCUCGCCCGCCUUUAAAACUGUGUGAAGAAGCUGAGCAGUGUCUCCCUGGCCUGGGCGUGGAGUGAGCUGGUCCCCUCAUCACCAGCACCAUAGACCAGGGGAUGAGGUGCUCCUGGCCCUCCACCACCACCUGGGUGCCGGCACACCCUCCUGGGCGGACCAGAGGAUGUCCACUGUGCUGGUCACUCUACACUCCUAUCAAGGCUGUGCUGUACAGGCUCAGUGACGACUCAGACACACGUCAAUUAUCUUCCCUCGGGCUCAGAGGCACUGACAGGCUUCUACAGUGGUAAGGCUGAAGCGACACAUCCAGGCGGGGGGCACCUUUGACAGCCCAGGACACACCUCCGCCCCCGCCAGUAACCUCAUCACCCAACUGCUAGUUCUGGACCCAGUGCAGUGGUCCAACCCAGAAGAGAUUGCUGCCACGAGUACCUGGCUAGUGCCCCCCCCUCGUAUGUACUAGCCCUGACCUUCAGCGACGACCCCGACCCCAUGGAGGGGCCUUCGUGGUGCAGUGGUUAGCACACUCGGUUCACAAUCGAGAGAGCCCAGGUUCGAUUCCCGGGCGGAGUGGAAACAUUUGGGCGGCUUUUCCGAUACCCUAUGCCCCUGUCCACCCAGCAGUGAAUGGGUACCAGUGUUCCUGUGACCACGAGUACCACAAGAACAGCGCUGUGCUCCAUGUGGAAGGCUGUGACCUGCCCACCGUCACGGCCGGAGGUCACCAGGAGCAACACAGCACCAGGAGCCCGGCAGCCAAGAGGAGGAAAACAGCCAAGAAGGGGACGACUUUGAGUGUUACGAGGAGGAAAACAGCCAAGAAGGGGACGACUUUGAGUGUUACGAGGAGGAAAACAGCCAAGAAGGGGACGACUUUGAGUGUUACGAGGAGGAAAACAGCCAAGAAGGGGACGACUUUGAGUGUUACGAGGAGGAAAACAGCCAAGAAGUGGGACGACUUUGAGUGUUACGAGGAGGAAAACAGCCAAGAAGGGGACGACUUUGAGUGUUACGAGGAGGAAAACAGCCAAGAAGGGGAUGACUUUGAGUGUUACGAGGAGGAAAACAGCCAAGAAGGGGACGACUUUGAGUGUUACGAGGAGGAAAACAGCCAAGAAGGGGACGACUUUGAGUGUUACGAGGAGGAAAACAGCCAAGAAGGGGACGACUUUGAGUGUUACGAGGAGGAAAACAGCCAAGAAGUGGGACGACUUUGAGUGUUACGAGGCCGAGAGCAAGACCAGUGAGGCGGAGGGCUGUGAUGGGGCGGACCACCCCAUGCCCGCCCAGCACUUCCAGCUCCCACUCAGAACAGGGAAAAAAAAUGUCUGGAGUGCAAGGAGGAGUUUUCCACGAAGAAGGCCACCCUGAGCCACCGCUGCCACCAGACCAAGAGGAAGGAGCGUGAGAAAGUGACCUACUCCUGCAAGGGCUGCCUGCGUAGGUUCCUGCUGCGGAGGGAGUACUUGAAGCAUGCCGACGCCUGCUGCAAGAACACUCCCGUCGCCUGUAAUCUGUGCCUGGUAAAGUUACCCAGUGCUGCUUACCUGCCUGGCCACCUGGCUGCCCUGAAGCCUCCUCUCAGCAAGAUACCCAUUUAUCCUCCAGCCUGAAAGAGAGGAUGAACAGCCAGGGGAGCCGGGCGCUGGCUGACCAGAGGCAGGAUUGAACCCGGGCCAUGGAUCCACAGCUAGGAAUGCUAACCAUUACACCACCUGAGACUGUUGAGGCCAAGGCAGACAAAGAAUCAGUAGGAGAGUGUAACAAAACAGACUACACUAAAAUCAGACUGAGAAGUGGAGAAAGCUGGGACAGACCUCUUGUCAUGCAGUGUAGCUAUUAUCAGCUAAAGAUGAUGACAACAUGUUUUUUGUGUAGACUGUGAUGUUGUUGGUGGGUGAUGUGUGUGUUGAGGCUUCCCUGUCCCUUGCAGGGCAGCACCUUGUGUGAGGCGUGUGGCCGAGGGUUCAGCAGGAAGGAGGCGCUCCAGCGGCACAAGGCGAGAGUCCACGGGAAGGCCCACGGCAGCCACCAAUGUGGCCGCACCUUUCCCCACACCUCCCUGCUGGCCGAGCACCUCAGGCCACACCAGGGAUGCACUUGUCCGGAAUGUUCCAAGGUGU